UACGUAGGGGGCUAGCGUUGUCCGGAAUCAUUGGGCGUAAAGAGCGUGUAGGCGGCCCGGUAAGUCCGCUGUAAAAGUCAAAGGCUCAACCUUUGAAUGUCAGUGGAUACUGCCGGGCUAGAGUCCGGAAGAGGCGAGUGGAACUCCUGGUGUAGCGGUGGAAUGCGUAGAUAUCCGGAAGAACACCUGAGGCGAAGGCGGCUUGCUGGGCCUGAUCUGACGCUGAGGCGCGAAAGCGUGGGGAGCAAACAGG
rnacentral:rRNA from 1 species